rnacentral:lncRNA from 1 species
ACCGACCGAUGAUCAUUCGAACUUCCACAACUACCGACAUACGAUCGACGUACUGUGAUUACGACAUAUAGUCGGCCUAUCUGAAAAUAUCAGUGCAAAAAGCGCAUAAUGGCCAGAAUAUUAUCAGUGGCGGGUAUAAUCACCCAUCCCACGAUUAUAUAAUGCUGGAACGAGCGGGACCCAUGUGUCUAACUGAUGC